GGACAUCCUUCUAAGGAAACAAGAAUAGUCCUCAGGUUUCUGCCUUCUGCAUAACUGGCUUACCAAGCAAAAAGACGUCGCAUGUCAAAGUCUACUGCCCCUAUGAAUGAGAGUGACAAGACUGCGAGCGUUGUUGGUGCCAGGCACGAGCCGUCCAUUUGGGAGCAGAACAGCUGCUACUAUCACUGAGAUAAGUAUCUUUUUUGCUGAGGGUUCUGCUCACGGCCCACCUGGCUACAGGUAGAGGCACCCCGUUAGGUGGGGCUGGGUUUGUAAGAAAAGGUUCCUGACUAGCUGUGGUUUUGAGGGAGACACGGUCCCCAUUUUCAGGGGCUGAUCAUUUCUCUGGCCAGGGUCGGUGUCUCCUCGGCAGGAGAAGGUUAGAUCCAUGAGGAUGACUCCAAGUGGUGAGUUGCUUGCCUUCCUCCUCUGUUUCUCUCUCUGUCUUCUCUACUCUACUCUACUUUACUAUGUUGGACCUCACUCUCUCUCUUCUCCCCCGCCCGCCCAUAGGGCACGGGCAGGAGUGCUAGGUGUGCAUCCCCUCAGGCUAGGUCUCGGGAGCUAUGAACAAGUAGGAGGGGACAAAAAUCAUGCAUCAUAGUGGGUGCUAGAGUGGAGGGGUGACUGUGGAUGUUGACUGUCUCUCUUCAAGUGGGCCUGAUGUAGAUAGGAUGGGAGAGGGAGGCAGGGAUGAGGGCAAGAUUACCUGCAUCAAUUGAAUUUUGUGUAGUGAUGGCCCUUGCUUCGCUCAUUUCCUGCGCUUGCAGAGGAAUUGUCCAGGCGCAGCAGCUGAAGGAGAAAGUGGCAGACACGGACCUGAGGAGCCUGGACAUCCUUCUAAGCAGACAUGAAUGGUCCUCCGAUUUCUGCCUCCCGCACAACUGGCUGAGAGUAAGCGGUCAGUGCUUGGAAUCCCUCAUCUGUACUGGCUCCGGUUUUGUUCAGAGGCUCUGAAUUUCCUCAUUGGACACGGUGCUCUGUGGGAUUCAGACGAGGCAAAGGCACAAGUCUCCUGUGCAGAUGCUGGGUUUAGUACCAAGUGCAGAGUCAGAGUCCACUCCGCAGAUGCCAUGGAAAGGGAGCGAGAGCUGGGAGAUUCUAAGCAUUGUUGAUGCCAGGGAAGAGCCAUCCAGCUGGGAGUGGAGCAAGGAUCACUGUCAGUGAGAUAAGUGUCUUGUUAGGUGAAGGCUCUGCUGUGGUUAUGAGGGAGACAAGGUCCCUAUUUUCAGGGGCUGCUCAGUCCUCUGGCCAG